CUGUAAGCCUCAGAUCGUUGUACAACUG
rnacentral:piRNA from 1 species